rnacentral:ncRNA from 1 species
AGCACUAUUCACAGGUGCUGACAGAUGUAAGUCCGACGUGCGACACCGCACUGCCUCAAAACCUAGGCUUUGGGAUUAC